rnacentral:rRNA from 1 species
GGUUAAGCGACUAAGCGUACACGGUGGAUGCCCUGGCAGUCAGAGGCGAUGAAGGACGUGCUAAUCUGCGAAAAGCGCCGGCGAGGUGAUAUGAACCUUUGACCCGGCGAUGUCCGAAUGGGGAAACCCAGUGCAAUUCGUUGCACUAUCGUUAACUGAAUACAUAGGUUAACGAGGCGAACCGGGGGAACUGAAACAUCUAAGUACCCCGAGGAAAAGAAAUCAACCGAGAUUCCCCCAGUAGCGGCGAGCGAACGGGGAGCAGCCCAGAGUCUGAAUCAGCUUGUGUGUUAGUGGAAGCGUCUGGAAAGUCGCACGGUACAGGGUGACAGUCCCGUACACGAAAGCACACAGGUUGUGAACUCGAAGAGUAGGGCGGGACACGUGGUAUCCUGUCUGAAUAUGGGGGGACCAUCCUCCAAGGCUAAAUACUCCUGACUGACCGAUAGUGAACCAGUACCGUGAGGGAAAGGCGAAAAGAACCCCGGCGAGGGGAGUGAAAAAGAACCUGAAACCGUGUACGUACAAGCAGUGGGAGCACCUUCGUGGUGUGACUGCGUACCUUUUGUAUAAUGGGUCAGCGACUUAUAUUCUGUAGCAAGGUUAACCGUAUAGGGGAGCCGAAGGGAAACCGAGUCUUAACUGGGCGUUAAGUUGCAGGGUAUAGACCCGAAACCCGGUGAUCUAGCCAUGGGCAGGUUGAAGGUUGGGUAACACUAACUGGAGGACCGAACCGACUAAUGUUGAAAAAUUAGCGGAUGACUUGUGGCUGGGGGUGAAAGGCCAAUCAAACCGGGAGAUAGCUGGUUCUCCCCGAAAGCUAUUUAGGUAGCGCCUCGUGAACUCAUCUUCGGGGGUAGAGCACUGUUUCGGCUAGGGGGCCAUCCCGGCUUACCAACCCGAUGCAAACUACGAAUACCGAAGAAUGUUAUCACGGGAGACACACGGCGGGUGCUAACGUCCGUCGUGAAGAGGGAAACAACCCAGACCGCCAGCUAAGGUCCCAAAGUCAUGGUUAAGUGGGAAACGAUGUGGGAAGGCACAGACAGCCAGGAUGUUGGCUUAGAAGCAGCCAUCAUUUAAAGAAAGCGUAAUAGCUCACUGGUCGAGUCGGCCUGCGCGGAAGAUGUAACGGGGCUAAACCAUGCACCGAAGCUGCGGCAGCGACGCUUAUGCGUUGUUGGGUAGGGGAGCGUUCUGUAAGCCGUUGAAGGUGUGCUGUGAGGCAUGCUGGAGGUAUCAGAAGUGCGAAUGCUGACAUAAGUAACGAUAAAGCGGGUGAAAAGCCCGCUCGCCGGAAGACCAAGGGUUCCUGUCCAACGUUAAUCGGGGCAGGGUGAGUCGACCCCUAAGGCGAGGCCGAAAGGCGUAGUCGAUGGGAAACAGGUUAAUAUUCCUGUACUUGGUGUUACUGCGAAGGGGGGACGGAGAAGGCUAUGUUAGCCGGGCGACGGUUGUCCCGGUUUAAGCAUGUAGGCGGAGGUUCCAGGUAAAUCCGGUACCUUAUUAACGCUGAGGUGUGAUGACGAGGCACUACGGUGCUGAAGUAACAAAUGCCCUGCUUCCAGGAAAAGCCUCUAAGCAUCAGGUAACACGAAAUCGUACCCCAAACCGACACAGGUGGUCAGGUAGAGAAUACCAAGGCGCUUGAGAGAACUCGGGUGAAGGAACUAGGCAAAAUGGUGCCGUAACUUCGGGAGAAGGCACGCUGAUAUGUAGGUGAAGCCCCUGCGGGUGGAGCUGAAAUCAGUCGAAGAUACCAGCUGGCUGCAACUGUUUAUUAAAAACACAGCACUGUGCAAACACGAAAGUGGACGUAUACGGUGUGACGCCUGCCCGGUGCCGGAAGGUUAAUUGAUGGGGUUAGCGGUAACGCGAAGCUCUUGAUCGAAGCCCCGGUAAACGGCGGCCGUAACUAUAACGGUCCUAAGGUAGCGAAAUUCCUUGUCGGGUAAGUUCCGACCUGCACGAAUGGCGUAAUGAUGGCCAGGCUGUCUCCACCCGAGACUCAGUGAAAUUGAACUCGCUGUGAAGAUGCAGUGUACCCGCGGCAAGACGGAAAGACCCCGUGAACCUUUACUAUAGCUUGACACUGAACACUGGUCCUUGAUGUGUAGGAUAGGUGGGAGGCUUUGAAGCGUGGACGCCAGUCUGCGUGGAGCCGACCUUGAAAUACCACCCUUUAAUGGCUGGUGUUCUAACGUAGACCCGUAAUCCGGGUUGCGGACAGUGUCUGGUGGGUAGUUUGACUGGGGCGGUCUCCUCCCAAAGAGUAACGGAGGAGCACGAAGGUUAGCUAAUCCUGGUCGGACAUCAGGAGGUUAGUGCAAUGGCAUAAGCUAGCUUGACUGCGAGAGUGACGGCUCGAGCAGGUGCGAAAGCAGGUCAUAGUGAUCCGGUGGUUCUGAAUGGAAGGGCCAUCGCUCAACGGAUAAAAGGUACUCCGGGGAUAACAGGCUGAUACCGCCCAAGAGUUCAUAUCGACGGCGGUGUUUGGCACCUCGAUGUCGGCUCAUCACAUCCUGGGGCUGAAGUAGGUCCCAAGGGUAUGGCUGUUCGCCAUUUAAAGUGGUACGCGAGCUGGGUUUAGAACGUCGUGAGACAGUUCGGUCCCUAUCUGCCGUGGGCGCUGGAGAAUUGAGGGGGGCUGCUCCUAGUACGAGAGGACCGGAGUGGACGCAUCACUGGUGUUCGGGUUGUCAUGCCAAUGGCACUGCCCGGUAGCUAAAUGCGGAAAAGAUAAGUGCUGAAAGCAUCUAAGCACGAAACUUGCCCCGAGAUGAGUUCUCCCUGACCCUUUAAGGGUCCUGAAGGAACGUUGAAGACUACGACGUUGAUAGGUCGGGUGUGUAAGCGCAGCGAUGCGUUGAGCUAACCGAUACUAAUGAACCGUGAGGCUUAACCUU